ensembl:lncRNA
CCCCGGCCUAGACCUGAUGGUAGGAGGAAGGUAUGCCAUGCACAGAUUCUGUGGAUGGCCCACGUGCUAUGAAAGUGUGGAAUAAACCUUUUCCUUUUAAAUACCUUUAGCUGAAUUACAGCAACAGUGGCUUCUCUCAGUUUUAGAGUGCUGCAGAAGGAAAUCCUGGGUGUCGAAAAAAUGAAAUCCUUUCACUUGACGAGGUCACGGGGGGCUGGCCAGCAGCCAGGCACAGGGCUCCUGCGUGGCUCUGCCUGUUCCUGUCUGAGCCCAUCACUUCCUCCAGGACGCUUCUCUUGCAUGUACUUCUGCACACUACAAGGAGAGGCUUAGAUUUGUUCCUAUGCUCAGUAUUUAGUUUGCUCUACACUUUGAGAAGGCCAGUAAUGUCUUAAGACCUGUUGCAGUCUCCAAAUAUAAAACCCCCUUUGUUGGGGGGAGGUUGACUUGACUGAGCCGCAUGAUCAGAGUCAGGUGACAAUUUUGGGCACAAAACCGGAGAAUAAACAGUUGGGUGUAGGAGAUUAGCUGCUGACUUGCCUUUUGACAAGCUGUGCUACUCCUCAGGGAAAAAUGAGUGCCUGGCCUUCUCCUCUGAUUUGGAGCUUAACCACGGCGUGUUUAACAGGUAUUGCUUUAGGCCAGACCACCACCACCCAGGUCCCUACUGCAUCAACCCCAGCACCCGCCAGUGAAACCACCACCCAGGUCCCCAUUGCAUCAAGCCCAGUACCUCCCAGUGCAGCCGCUACCAUGGCCUCUGCUCCCCCAACUGCCACUGCAGUGUUGUCAGCUGGCGUGGUGUCAGCCUCUGCAAACCUUGUUGUGUCCACAGCAGUGCCAUCUGCUGAUCCAAGCACAAAAAAGCCUGCUCAGACUCUGCUCGCCACCACGGGUGUGACCAUCCUCACCUCUGGCAGCACCACCACUUCUCAAGCAUCUACAGGACUGAUGGCCGCAUCCACCAGCACCCCAGUGUCCCCUCCAGGUGUGACAACAUCUCCUGGAGUCCUGUCAGCAGCUCCGUUCCUCACCACUGCCAAACCCGCAAACUGCAGCGGUGUGAACGUGACAGCCUGUGCCCGCUGCUCCCCAGGGACGUUUCCCAACGAAGGCACCUUGAGCUGCUCGUGCUGCGGGGGGGGCUCAUGCAUAGACCCCAGUGCCUGUACCUCCUGCCCGCUGGGCCACUACCAGCCUGAAAGUGGGCAACUGUUGUGCCUGCCUUGUCCACAGGGCCAUUACACCAACUUCACAAGGAGCACCACAUGCCUUCCCUGCCCGCCUGGCCAUUACGCUAAUGAGUCCGGAGCUACAGCCUGCAGAGCAUGUGAGAAAGGCUAUUUUAGCUCCAAGGAAAAUGCAGCUUUUUGUCUGCCUUGUCUGCCUGGAUCAUUUUGCAACACCACCAGCUGCACGGUGUGUCCGCCUUGUCCUGGUGGGCAAGAGGCUCUUCAGGCUGCGGCGCGGGACUGCAUGCCUUGCUCACCAGGUACAUUCAAAGGUCCCAGCGACAACAAAUGCAAGCUCUGCAGGACAGGAGAAUACCAAUUACAGUGGGGCAAGGAGAGCUGUGACCUGUGCCCAGAAAAUCACUACUGCCCUAGCCCAGAUGUGAACCCAGUGAAGUGUCCUCCCGACGCCUUCUGCCCCGCAGGCAGCGCUGAGCCGGCGUACUGCAUGGAGCUCUUCCUUUACAAGGCAGGGGACUCCUGCCAGCUGACCCCACUGAUGGUCGUUCUCCUGGCCAUCUUCUCAGCAUGUGGAAUCCUUGCUGUCUUUCUAAUAAUUCUGAGAAGAAGGCAACAAUAUAGCAAGAAAUCGUUAAAGUCUCUGUUGCUACCCCAAGGCUCAGGACGACACACAACUUACGGGGGGACUGAGCACACAGAACCAGUCUAUGCUGGCUGGUAGCCUAGGACACGCUAUCAGCAAGCAACCUCUUUUUUUCCAUGCGGCAAGACAGAUGGUGCAUAUGGGGGAAAUGGUUAACUAUGAGCAACCUGUUUCUGUAGAGCUAAAAUAAGUGCAGAGAAAUUAAACCUCAAUUUUUGAGUUGUGGCUGCUUGUGCUGAUCAACCCAGCUGUGCUACUGUACUGAAAUGGAUUGAGGGGAAAAGUCUACCCCUGCAAGUCCCAGCUUCAUUCAGAAGUAAAUACUUUUCUGCUUUCCUCAGUGAAAAAAACAAAAAACCAAUUGUGUGUCUGUCUCUCUCCAGUUAGCUGAACAAACUGAGUAGGAAUCAACUGCUCCAGUUAUUAAGGUUCCUGUGAUACAAUAAUCUCUUCCACCUGAGCAGGAACUAACAUGAAUAUGCUUCAAGGAAUAUGCAAUUUUUUUUUCCAUUCUCAAAACUUUACUAAUUACUACUAGUCUAAACAAGAGCAAGUAAAGGAAAGGGAGGCCAAAGCCUUCCUCUCAGCUGUGGGAAAACAGGUGCAACUAAAACAGUGGUUGAUUUCUGGACAAGUAUGUCCCUUUUGUUUCCUGCUGUAUGAUGUCCUUCAUACUAGAGCUACAAAAGCAACUCAGAACUUCCACCAUACCUCACAGGAAUUGUUUCUUUCUCUACCACACCACACUGGUAAGGCAUGAAACUGUGCCAGUGAAACCUUGGAGCCAAACAGCGCAGCAUGCUGCAGCCACAGAAGACAGCUUGCCCAUUUUUGCAUGCCUGGAUGUGCCAGUACUAGACCCAUUGCUUGAAUUCCUGUGCAGAGUUCUUGCCCUGAUCCCUGACACUUGAUUUGUCCCCCACCCAUGAGAGCAGGAUGUGUGAUCUGUACCUGUUCUCCCUGCAUGGAGCUGUGGCACUCCAAGCUUUCUUCUCUGCAGUUGGCCCAGUUCAACAAUCUGGUUAAACUGAUGCAAUUCAUGUUUUACAGGGCUGAUUUCAAAUUGUCUAGUUGUUUG